AUGUCAACCUCGGCGGUGACGUUGCCAACCCAAGGAGUCAAGCCCCCGGCGGCUCCCUGGCCGGCACCGCUGCUUGGCAGGGUGGCGCUGUCAGUUGAUGGUUCUUUCCUGCAGGAGGAUGGCUCUGCGGCCAUCGGUAUGGUGCUUCGGAACGACAAAGGCGAGAUCCUAAUGGCAGCUUACCGUUUCAUCUUCUACUGCAAUGACCCACUCGAGGCAGAACUGCAUGCGAUUAUGCAGGGGUUGGCCCUAGCAUUACAACAUUCUGACCUACCGGUGGUGGUUCAGACGGACUCCUCUGAAGCACUGUCUAGCUUGACAAAUGAUGCACUUCUUCGUUCGGUUUAUGGACAAAUCGUCCUGGAGAUCAAGGCACUUUUAGGCUUGGAGCAUGGAGCCAAAUCCACCGCCGGCAUUGCAGAAUCCUCCACACAAGUGAAGGACCCUGCAUCAUCAUCACCAUGUCCACCUAAAGAUGAGAAACAGUUUCGGAUCACCGUAAUGAAAUUAACACUCGGCGCCGUUGCAUUUACGGUUGCAGGCCUCUAUGUGGAGGCCAAGUAUAUAAUCAAUGGCCCUUUCCUUGGGAGGGAGCGGCCUGUGAAUAACACUGGUGAACGUUCAGAUGCUAUAUGCUUUAUGAAGUUAGUUUAG
rnacentral:rRNA from 1 species